rnacentral:rRNA from 1 species
GGUUAAGCGACUAAGCGUACACGGUGGAUGCCCUGGCAGUCAGAGGCGAUGAAGGACGUGCUAAUCUGCGAAAAGCGUCGGUAAGGUGAUAUGAACCGUUAUAGCCGGCGAUGUCCGAAUGGGGAAACCCAGUGCAAUUCGUUGCACUAUCGUUAACUGAAUACAUAGGUUAACGAGGCGAACCGGGGGAACUGAAACAUCUAAGUACCCCGAGGAAAAGAAAUCAACCGAGAUUCCCCAGUAGCGGCGAGCGAACGGGAGCAGCCCGGAGUCUGAAUCAGCUUGUGUGUUAGUGGAAGCGUCUGGAAAGUCGCAGGGUACAGGGUGAUACUCCCGUACACUAAAACACACAGGUUGUGAACUCGAAGAGUAGGGCGGGACACGUGGUAUCCUGUCUGAAUAUGGGGGGACCAUCCUCCAAGGCUAAAUACUCCUGACUGACCGAUAGUGAACCAGUACCGUGAGGGAAAGGCGAAAAGAACCCCGGCGAGGGGAGUGAAAAAAGAACCUGAAACCGUGUACGUACAAGCAGUAGGAGCCCACUAGUUGGGUGACUGCGUACCUUUUGUAUAAUGGGUCAGCGACUUAUAUUCUGUAGCAAGGUUAACCGUAUAGGGGAGCCGCAGGGAAACCGAGUCUUAACUGGGCGUUAAGUUGCAGGGUAUAGACCCGAAACCGGUGAUCUAGCCAUGGGCAGGUUGAAGGUUGGGUAACACUAACUGGAGGACCGAACCGACUAAUGUUGAAAAAUUAGCGGAUGACUUGUGGCUGGGGUGAAAGGCCAAUCAAACCGGGAGAUAGCUGGUUCUCCCCGAAAGCUAUUUAGGUAGCGCCUCGUGAAUUCAUCUUCGGGGGUAGAGCACUGUUUCGGCUAGGGGGUCAUCCCGACUUACCAACCCGAUGCAAACUACGAAUACCGAAGAAUGUUAUCACGGGAGACACACGGCGGGUGCUAACGUCCGUCGUGAAGAGGGAAACAACCCAGACCGCCAGCUAAGGUCCCAAAGUCAUGGUUAAGUGGGAAACGAUGUGGGAAGGCCCAGACAGCCAGGAUGUUGGCUUAGAAGCAGCCAUCAUUUAAAGAAAGCGUAAUAGCUCACUGGUCGAGUCGGCCUGCGCGGAAGAUGUAACGGGCUAAACCAUGCACCGAAGCUGCGGCAGCGACACUAUGUGUUGUUGGGUAGGGAGCGUUCUGUAAGCCGUUGAAGGUAGCCUGUGAGGGUUGCUGGAGGUAUCAGAAGUGCGAAUGCUGACAUAAGUAACGAUAAUGCGGGUGAAAAACCCGCACGCCGGAAGACCAAGGGUUCCUGUCCAACGUUAAUCGGGGCAGGGUGAGUCGACCCCUAAGGCGAGGCCGAAAGGCGUAGUCGAUGGGAAACAGGUUAAUAUUCCUGUACUCGGUGUUACUGCGAAGGGGGGACGGAGAAGGCUAUGUUGGCCGGGCGACGGUUGUCCCGGUUUAAGCAUGUAGGCGGAUGUUCCAGGUAAAUCCGGAACGUCACUAACGCUGAGGUGUGAUGACGAGGCACUACGGUGCUGAAGUGACAAAUGCCCUGCUUCCAGGAAAAGCCUCUAAGCAUCAGGUAACAUCAAAUCGUACCCCAAACCGACACAGGUGGUCAGGUAGAGAAUACCAAGGCGCUUGAGAGAACUCGGGUGAAGGAACUAGGCAAAAUGGUGCCGUAACUUCGGGAGAAGGCACGCUGAUGGUAGGUGAAGUGACUUGCUCAUGGAGCUGAAAUCAGUCGAAGAUACCAGCUGGCUGCAACUGUUUAUUAAAAACACAGCACUGUGCAAACACGAAAGUGGACGUAUACGGUGUGACGCCUGCCCGGUGCCGGAAGGUUAAUUGAUGGGGUUAUCCUCGCGGAGAAGCUCUUGAUCGAAGCCCCGGUAAACGGCGGCCGUAACUAUAACGGUCCUAAGGUAGCGAAAUUCCUUGUCGGGUAAGUUCCGACCUGCACGAAUGGCGUAAUGAUGGCCAGGCUGUCUCCACCCGAGACUCAGUGAAAUUGAACUCGCUGUGAAGAUGCAGUGUACCCGCGGCAAGACGGAAAGACCCCGUGAACCUUUACUAUAGCUUGACACUGAACACUGGUCCUUGAUGUGUAGGAUAGGUGGGAGGCUUUGAAGUGUGGACGCCAGUCUGCAUGGAGCCAUCCUUGAAAUACCACCCUUUAAUGGCUGGUGUUCUAACGUGGGCCCGUGAUCCGGGUUGCGGACAGUGUCUGGUGGGUAGUUUGACUGGGGCGGUCUCCUCCUAAAGAGUAACGGAGGAGCACGAAGGUCAGCUAAUCCUGGUCGGACAUCAGGAGGUUAGUGCAAUGGCAUAAGCUGGCUUGACUGCGAGCGUGACGGCGCGAGCAGGUGCGAAAGCAGGUCAUAGUGAUCCGGUGGUUCUGAAUGGAAGGGCCAUCGCUCAACGGAUAAAAGGUACUCCGGGGAUAACAGGCUGAUACCGCCCAAGAGUUCAUAUCGACGGCGGUGUUUGGCACCUCGAUGUCGGCUCAUCACAUCCUGGGGCUGAAGUAGGUCCCAAGGGUAUGGCUGUUCGCCAUUUAAAGUGGUACGCGAGCUGGGUUUAGAACGUCGUGAGACAGUUCGGUCCCUAUCUGCCGUGGGCGCUGGAGAAUUGAGGGGGGCUGCUCCUAGUACGAGAGGACCGGAGUGGACGCAUCACUGGUGUUCGGGUUGUCAUGCCAAUGGCAUUGCCCGGUAGCUAAAUGCGGAAGAGAUAAGUGCUGAAAGCAUCUAAGCACGAAACUUGCCCCGAGAUGAGUUCUCCCUGACUCCUUGAGAGUCCUGAAGGAACGUUGAAGACGACGACGUUGAUAGGCCGGGUGUGUAAGCGCAGCGAUGCGUUGAGCUAACCGGUACUAAUGAACCGUGAGGCUUAACCUU